GUUAUAUGGUCAAGUGAAGAAGCGCAUACGGUGGAUGCCUUGGCAGUCAGAGGCGAUGAAAGACGUGGUAGCCUGCGAAAAGCUUCGGGGAGUCGGCAAACAGACUUUGAUCCGGAGAUCUCUGAAUGGGGGAACCCACCUAGGAUAACCUAGGUAUCUUGUACUGAAUCCAUAGGUGCAAGAGGCGAACCAGGGGAACUGAAACAUCUAAGUACCCUGAGGAAAAGAAAUCAACCGAGAUUCCCUUAGUAGUGGCGAGCGAACGGGGAUUAGCCCUUAAGCUUCAUUGAUUUUAGCGGAACGCUCUGGAAAGUGCGGCCAUAGUGGGUGAUAGCCCCGUACGCGAAAGGAUCUUUGAAGUGAAAUCGAGUAGGACGGAGCACGAGAAACUUUGUCUGAACAUGGGGGGACCAUCCUCCAAGGCUAAAUACUACUGACUGACCGAUAGUGAACCAGUACCGUGAGGGAAAGGCGAAAAGAACCCCGGAGAGGGGAGUGAAAUAGAACCUGAAACCGUAUGCGUACAAGCAGUGGGAGCCUACUUGUUAGGUGACUGCGUACCUUUUGUAUAAUGGGUCAGCGACUUAUAUUCAGUGGCGAGCUUAACCGUAUAGGGUAGGCGUAGCGAAAGCGAGUCUUAAUAGGGCGUUUAGUCGCUGGGUAUAGACCCGAAACCGGGCGAUCUAUCCAUGAGCAGGUUGAAGGUUAGGUAACACUGACUGGAGGACCGAACCCACUCCCGUUGAAAAGGUAGGGGAUGACUUGUGGAUCGGAGUGAAAGGCUAAUCAAGCUCGGAGAUAGCUGGUUCUCCUCGAAAGCUAUUUAGGUAGCGCCUCAUGUAUCACUCUGGGGGGUAGAGCACUGUUUCGGCUAGGGGGUCAUCCCGACUUACCAAACCGAUGCAAACUCCGAAUACCCAGAAGUGCCGAGCAUGGGAGACACACGGCGGGUGCUAACGUCCGUCGUGAAAAGGGAAACAACCCAGACCGCCAGCUAAGGUCCCAAAGUUGUGGUUAAGUGGUAAACGAUGUGGGAAGGCUUAGACAGCUAGGAGGUUGGCUUAGAAGCAGCCAUCCUUUAAAGAAAGCGUAAUAGCUCACUAGUCGAGUCGGCCUGCGCGGAAGAUGUAACGGGGCUCAAACCACACACCGAAGCUGCGGGUGUCACGUAAGUGACGCGGUAGAGGAGCGUUCUGUAAGCCUGUGAAGGUGAGUUGAGAAGCUUGCUGGAGGUAUCAGAAGUGCGAAUGCUGACAUGAGUAACGACAAUGGGUGUGAAAAACAUCCACGCCGAAAGACCAAGGGUUCCUGCGCAACGUUAAUCGACGCAGGGUUAGUCGGUUCCUAAGGCGAGGCUGAAAAGCGUAGUCGAUGGGAAACAGGUUAAUAUUCCUGUACUUCUGGUUACUGCGAUGGAGGGACGGAGAAGGCUAGGCCAGCUUGGCGUUGGUUGUCCAAGUUUAAGGUGGUAGGCUGAAACCUUAGGUAAAUCCGGGGUUUCAAGGCCGAGAGCUGAUGACGAGUCGUCUUUUAGAUGACGAAGUGGUUGAUGCCAUGCUUCCAAGAAAAGCUUCUAAGCUUCAGGUAACCAGGAACCGUACCCCAAACCGACACAGGUGGUCGGGUAGAGAAUACCAAGGCGCUUGAGAGAACUCGGGUGAAGGAACUAGGCAAAAUGGCACCGUAACUUCGGGAGAAGGUGCGCCGGCUAGGGUGAAGGAUUUACUCCGUAAGCUCUGGCUGGUCGAAGAUACCAGGCCGCUGCGACUGUUUAUUAAAAACACAGCACUCUGCAAACACGAAAGUGGACGUAUAGGGUGUGACGCCUGCCCGGUGCCGGAAGGUUAAUUGAUGGGGUUAGCGCAAGCGAAGCUCUUGAUCGAAGCCCCGGUAAACGGCGGCCGUAACUAUAACGGUCCUAAGGUAGCGAAAUUCCUUGUCGGGUAAGUUCCGACCUGCACGAAUGGCGUAACGAUGGCGGCGCUGUCUCCACCCGAGACUCAGUGAAAUUGAAAUCGCUGUGAAGAUGCAGUGUAUCCGCGGCUAGACGGAAAGACCCCGUGAACCUUUACUGUAGCUUUGCACUGGACUUUGAGCCUGCUUGUGUAGGAUAGGUGGGAGGCUUUGAAGCGUGGACGCCAGUUCGCGUGGAGCCAUCCUUGAAAUACCACCCUGGCAUGCUUGAGGUUCUAACUCUGGUCCGUAAUCCGGAUCGAGGACAGUGUAUGGUGGGCAGUUUGACUGGGGCGGUCUCCUCCUAAAGAGUAACGGAGGAGUACGAAGGUGCGCUCAGACCGGUCGGAAAUCGGUCGCAGAGUAUAAAGGCAAAAGCGCGCUUGACUGCGAGACAGACACGUCGAGCAGGUACGAAAGUAGGUCUUAGUGAUCCGGUGGUUCUGUAUGGAAGGGCCAUCGCUCAACGGAUAAAAGGUACUCCGGGGAUAACAGGCUGAUACCGCCCAAGAGUUCAUAUCGACGGCGGUGUUUGGCACCUCGAUGUCGGCUCAUCACAUCCUGGGGCUGAAGCCGGUCCCAAGGGUAUGGCUGUUCGCCAUUUAAAGUGGUACGCGAGCUGGGUUUAGAACGUCGUGAGACAGUUCGGUCCCUAUCUGCCGUGGACGUUUGAGAUUUGAGAGGGGCUGCUCCUAGUACGAGAGGACCGGAGUGGACGAACCUCUGGUGUUCCGGUUGUCACGCCAGUGGCAUUGCCGGGUAGCUAUGUUCGGAAAAGAUAACCGCUGAAAGCAUCUAAGCGGGAAACUUGCCUCAAGAUGAGAUCUCACUGGGAACUUGAUUCCCCUGAAGGGCCGUCGAAGACUACGACGUUGAUAGGCUGGGUGUGUAAGCGUUGUGAGGCGUUGAGCUAACCAGUACUAAUUGCCCGUGAGGCUUGACCAUAUAACACCCAAACA
rnacentral:rRNA from 1 species